rnacentral:ncRNA from 1 species
AAAAAACCGUUGAGAAAGAAGAGUAGCUUAUUACGUGACAUUCCAGAGAACAGCAGGUGGUGGGAUUGCUGUAUGAAGCAGAUAAGUGAAUGGCCUUUCGAGGGCAGGCUGAAAUUCUUGUUUCGUACAGGAGUGAGAAGAGUAGGACUUGUCGGGAACCGAACCCGUUAUCAAUCAGGAGUGUAUGUUAGUACAUGAGAAAGUGGACAAUUCGUCAAUUUGAGUGGUACCGCGAUAAUAAUAAUUUUAAUUAUUACCGUCUCAAAC